UAUGUGAUCGUCUCUCGCAUAUCAAUAAGCGGAGGAAAAGAAACUAACAAGGAUUCCCCUAGUAACGGCGAGUGAAGCGGGAAGAGCUCAAAUUUGAAAUCUUAAAGGGUUUCCCUUUACGAAUUGUAGUUUAAAGAAGUGUUUUCUGUUGAGGUUUUGGUAAAAGUUCUUUGGAAUAGGACAUCAUAGAGGGUGAGAAUCCCGUAUUUGACCUUUACUUUCAACUUUGUGAUACACUUUCAAAGAGUCGGAUUGUUUGGGAAUGCAGUCCAAAAUGGGUGGUAAAUUUCAUCUAAAGCUAAAUAUUGGCGAGAGACCGAUAGCGAACAAGUACCGUGAGGGAAAGAUGAAAAGAACUUUGAAAAGAGAGUUAAACAGUACGUGAAAUUGUCAAAAGGGAAGCGUUUGACGCCAGUGUUGUCUUUCUGAAAAUCAAUUAAAGAACUGUUUAUGCUAAGCUGUUUAGACUUUAUCAGCUAACUGUUUAGUUUUGAGCUUUUCUUUAAUGCACUUUUCAGUUAACAAGUCAACAUCAAUUUCUUUUGCUGUAAAAAAGCUUGAGGAAGGUGGCUUGAGAUUCGUCUUAAGUGUUUAUAGCCUCUUGCCUAUGCAGUCGGAGAGAUUGAGGUCUGCAGCGUAGAUCCUUCGGGGCUAAAUGCAUUUGUGCUAAGUUAUAGCAUUUUAUAGACAACUUGUUGACUAUGAUUUGUCUUGUAGCUUACUCGCUUAUGUUAUUUUACCUACGCUUAGGAUGUUGAGUAGCGACAUACGCAC
rnacentral:rRNA from 1 species